GUGGCGGCGUGCUCGAAAAUGUUAAAGUUCUUAUUUCAUGGUAUAACUUUGGUAUGCUUGGACCUAGAGUCUUCAAACUUGACAUGAAGGUUGGCCAGGAUUAACAGAUGACCACUGGUCAUUUCAAGGUCAUUCAUUUGAAGGUCAAGGUCACUGUGACCUUCAAUAUAAAAAAUGUUAAAGUUGUUAUAACUUUGGUAUGCUUGGACCUAGAGUCUUGAAACUUGACAUGAAGGUUGGCCAUAACUAGUUAGUAACCACUGGUCAUUUCAAGGUCAUUCAUUUGAAGGUCAAGGUCACUGUGACCUUCAAUAUAAAAAUGUUAAAGUUGUUAUAACUUUGGUAUGCUUGGACCUAGAGUCUUGAAACUUGACAUGAAGGUUGGCCAGAACUAGUAAGUAACCACUGGACAUUUCAAGGUCAUUCAUUUGAAGGUCAAGGUCACUGUGACCUUGAAUGUAAAAAUGUUAAAGUUGUUAUAACUUUGGUAUGCUUGGACCUAGAGUCUUGAAACUUGACAUGAAGGUUGGCCAGAACUAGUAAGUAACCACUGGACAUUUCAAGGUCAUUCAUUUGAAGGUCAAGGUCACUGUGACUUUGAAUGUAAAAAUGUUAAAGUUCUUAUUUCAUGUUAUAACUUUGGUAUGCUUGUACCUAGAGUCUUCAAACUUGAAAUAAAGAUUGGCCAGUACUAGAAGAUGACCACUGGUCAUUUCAAUGUCAUUCAUUUGAAGGUCAAGGUCACUGUGACCUUAAAUGUUAAAAUGUUAAAAUUGUUAUAACUUUGGUAUGCUUGGACAUAGAGUCUUCAAACUUGACAUGAAGGUUUGCAAGCACACUUAGAUGACCACUGGUCAUUUCAAGGUCAUUCAUUCUAAGGUCAAGGUCACUGUGACCUUGAAUGUAAAAAUGUUAAAGUUCUUAUAACUUUGGUAGGUAAAAAUGUUAAAGUUCUUAUUCCAUGUUAUUACUUUGGUAUGCUUGUACCUAGAGUCUUCAAACUUGACAUAAAGGUUGGCCAGUACUAGAAGAUCACCACUGCUCAUUUCAAUGUCAUUCAUUUGAAGGUCAAGGUCACUGUGACCUUCAAUGUUAAAAUGUUAAAAUUGUUAUAACUUUGGUAUGCUUGGACCUAGAAUCUCAAACUUGACGUAAAGGUUUGCAAGCACACUUAGAUGACCACUGGUCAUUUCAAGGUCAUUCAUUUCAAUGUCAUUCAUUUGAAGGUCAAGGUCACUGUGAACUUAAAUGUUAAAAUGUUAAAAUUGUUGUAACUUUGGUGUGCUUGGACCUAGAAUCUCAAACUUGACGUAAAGGUUUGCAAGCACACUUAGAUGACCACUGGUCAUUUCAAGGUCAUUCAUUUGAAGGUCGAGGUCACUGUGACCUUGGAUGUAAAUAUGUUAAAGUUGUUAAUACUUUGGUAUGCUUAGACCUAGAGUCUUCAAACUUGAUAUGAAGGUUGGCCAGAACUAGUAGAUGACCACUGGUCAUUUUAAGGUCAAGGUCACCGUGACCUUGAAUGUAAAAAUGUUAAAA